CCAGUCGGCGCGCGCUCCUUGGGCCCGGAGGCCUAUUACGCGCGCGCGUGUCCGAGCGCGCCCACUAGCGCGCGCGCCGAGCUCCGGACUCCCCACUCCUGCGCAACCCUGGUCAAGCAGAUGUGUUUUAAGAAAGCAACUGAAUGCCCUCACUUCCAGUAAUCCUCCUAAGCCUUGUUAAUGGAGGUGUUUGGGGCAGGAGGCCAUUUCAUAUGCUGUCUGAAUCACAGAGCUCACAGGGCAUCCUUCUCUGCGACUUUACUAUCCUGGAGGGAUGUGACCUGGGCUGGUGCUUGGACAUCAUGGCUCCUACAUCCCUUCUCUGGCCAUCUUCUACGUUCUGUCACCUACUGUUCUUUGCCUGCUAAGUUGCUUCAGUCAUGUCCAACUCUGUGCGGCCCUAUGGACUGUAGCCUGCCAGGCUUCUCUGUCCACGUCAUGCUUCAGACAAGAAUACUGGACUCUGGGAGAAGCCAGCACCUGUGGAAGUCCAGCUACUUCAAGACCACCAUGCUGUGAGGAAGCCCAAUCUAGCCAUAUGAAGAGAUACUGUGCCAGCCCCAAGCCACUCCAGACAUCCCAGACCAGACACCACAGAGCUGCAUAAAGAAGCCUUCAGAUGAACUUGGCCUUGGCUUUAGACUGGCUACACAAUCCCAGAGACCUCAAGUGAGAACCACCCAGCUGAUCCUAUCAACCUCCACAGCCAUGAGCAGUAAUAAUACAUUAUUGUUUCACUCUG